UACGUAGGGUGCAAGCGUUGCCCGGAUUUAUUGGGCGUAAAGCGCUCGCAGGUGGUUCGUCGCGUCGUGCGUGAAAGACCCCGGCUCAACUGGGGGAGGUCGUGCGAUACGGGCGGACUGGAGGCCAGUAGGGGGAUGCGGAAUUCCGGGUGUAGUGGUGGAAUGCGUAGAGAUCCGGAGGAACACCAGCGGCGAAGGCGGCAUCCUGGACUGGUCCUGACACUCAGGAGCGAAAGCGUGGGGAGCGAUCCGG
rnacentral:rRNA from 1 species